AUCACACUUUGACCUGCCCGGGAACACAGUGGCUCCUGGGAAAUAACCACUAAAGUCUUGAAAUGUCUUGAGUGAUUGGAGGACCUUUAUUUUUCACGCCUGAUGCCUUAUGCUGAUGAGAUGACUCAGCAGGGGAUGGCCAGGCCAGAAAGACCAAAACUGUAUCCUGAGGUUUGAGUUUCUGAGCCAGGUGAUGUCAUCCUCCAGCUUGGCCGGCCUCUUUCUGGGAGCCUCUGGUGUGAAAGAGAGCAGUGCUUGCCUUUCCCAUGUCUAGGAGUUUGCCUAAAUCUUCAAAGAUAUGUGAGGCUUGCCUAGAACAUCAUCAUCAGGAAUGCUGGUCCUUCAAUUUGUUUUUUGAAUUGAAGUGUAGUUUACAGUGAUCAAGUUGAAAAUAAGGCUCUGCAUGAAAGCUAACUAUUAAAAGGGUGUGGGCACAGGAGCAACCAACACAGACCCCACAGAAUCCCAAACCUAUGCUAAGAGGGAGCACUUCCAUCCCUCCAAACCUGUGCUAAGAGGGACACCUCCAUCCUUCUAAGCCUGUGCUAAGAGGGAACACCUCCAUCCUUCCAAACCUGUGAUAGGAGGGAGCAUCUCCAUCCUUCUGAACCUGUGCUAAGAGGAAACACCUCCAUCCUUCCAAACCUGUGAUAGGAGGGAGCACCUCCAUCCUUCCGAACCUGUGCUAAGAGGGACACCUCCAUCCUUCCAAGCCUGUGCUAAGAGGGAGCACCUCCAUCCUUCCAAACCUGUGAUAGGAGGGAGCACCUCCAUCCUUCCAAGCCUGUGCUAAGAGGGAGCACCUCCAUCCUUCCAAACCUGUGAUAGGAGGGAGCACCUCCAUCCUUCCGAACCUGUGCUAAGAGGGACACCUCCAUCCUUCCAAGCCUGUGCUAAGAAGGAGCACCUCCAUCCUUCCAUCUGGCAACCCCACAUCUUUCUGUGCAGCAUUGGCUCAUGGAGUUUUGCACAAUCUGUUGCCUUAAUGCAGCUGUGAGGUGGUAAACCCCAUGCCAUUGCACAGCUGUGCUGGUGGAGUCUUCAACAACAGAGGGAUGAAACGAGAGUGCUGAGUGAUGGGUGGAGUGUGCUCACAGAAGCCAGCUGUGCUUGCCCCACUCCCACCCAAAAUGUUUACCCACGUGGGAAAUGCCUGCCCUGCAUAGGAGUACCCAAGGAACCCAGGAUAUAAAGAAACUUCUAAAAUGGAUCUGAAAGGGGGAAGAGCCCUCCCCUGUAAGGAAGCGAGAGAGUUGUAGGAAGUAAUGUCGAUAGGGAAGAAAGGGCUCGUAAGUAUGGGAGAGCAUUUUGCCUCCUAUUCUAUCGACUCUUUGAAGCAUGCAAGCACGCUGCUCCACAGGCUUAGCUGCACAGAGACGCACUACUCCAUUUACUCAUGGGCUGCCCGUGGGGCUUGGCGAAAGAGCAGGCUUGGCUUAGGGGAACUACUGAGACACAUCCAGAUUUAUUAAAAAUCAUCAACUUCAAAUUAUUUGGAUGGAAACAUUGCCAAAUCAUAGAGAUGUUUGCUACCACCCGCACACCAAGCAGCUGGGUAACUAGAAGUGCAGGAUCAGCUUAUUCACCUCCGAAAGCCUGCAUGCAACCACUGAGGCCGCCUCUAUUUUUUACAUAGUUCUACUUGGUGUAUGUAACCCCACAGAGAAACCUGGAAGAAUGCAUGAAACCUAGUAAGGCAACCAGCACAUGCAACAGAAUGAACCGUUUCUUUCCAUCUGAAUGCCUAAAUGUGGACUCUGAUCCUUUCUACCAAGUCCUAAGUUUGGGAAAAGAGGACAAGGACAGGGGCUCUGUCCCAUAUCAUAAUGUGCUUGUGAAUGGCUAAAAUUACAAUGCUGAGAUAAGUGUGUGUAAUAAAAUAAUUGCACCCCGAA
ensembl:lncRNA LINC02411 long intergenic non-protein coding RNA 2411